GAAGGAGGGCUCCAAACCUCAGCUGACCACACUGAUGUGUAUUUUGAGAUUUUUAGACUUCUCAUGUAGGCAGUUUUCAAAAAUUGAUACAGAGGAAAUAGAUACUUUUCUGCCAGUGGAAAUUCUUCAUGCUGAGUUGUAAGAAGUUCCAUGGACCGUUUAGCUAUUAAAGGCUGACUGUCCAUAUGGCUUCCUCCACUCAUAGAUGGUAGUAAUCAGGAUGGUACCUGCAUUUGUCUCUGACUGGAUUUCCUCGUGCUCCCUUUUGAUGCCUACAACUACAAUGCUGAGAAUACAGAACUGGGAUGUUGCUAUACAGAACACCUGGCUGGUUACCUAGUAAGGCAUGUAGCAAAAAGUUUUUUUUGCUAUAUGGAUCUGGUUUUCAUGACAGCAGUUAUUGUUUUACCCGUUUAACUUGGGAACAGAUUUUGUAUUAGAAACUACAUAAGGUGAGGGCUAAAUAAAAAUAUAUUUAUGUAUUUAAUUCUGGUUUACAUGUAGCAGUCUUGAUGAAAUAGUUGUUUGGGCAACUGAGCAGUGAGAAUGGGAGCAAAAUUUUUAAACUUUCUGCAGCAGUAAAACUACGCAUGAUUCAGCAUGCAAAAGGUUUAAACAUAAAAGGGGGAUAAAGAGGUGUAAAAACCUAGUGUAAGAAAAAUCACAGAAUAUGUAAGGAAAAUAGGAAUGAAGAGUUCAAACUACAUCAGAAAGAGAUCUAGCACUGAGGUAAGGCUAGGAAGGAAGAUUAAAAGGAAAUUCAUGAGUGAGGAGAGAGAUGGAAAAAUCAAAAGAGAAAAAAUG
rnacentral:lncRNA from 1 species